rnacentral:rRNA from 1 species
AGAGUUUGAUCCUGGCUCAGAUUGAACGCUGGCGGCAUGCCUUACACAUGUAAGUCGAACGGCAGCAUGAUGUGUAGCAAUACACGUUGAUGGCGAGUGGCGAACGGGUAAGUAAUAUAUCGGAACGUGUCCUGUAGCGGGGGAUAACCUAUCGAAAGAUGGACUAAUACCGCAUACGCUCUACGGAGGAAAGCGGGGGUCGCAAGACCUCGCACUAUAGGAGCGGCCGAUAUCGGAUUAGCUAGUUGGCGGGGUAAAAGCCCACCAAGGCGACGAUCCGUAGCUGGUCUGAGAGGAUGAUCAGCCACACUGGAACUGAGACACGGUCCAGACUCCUACGGGAGGCAGCAGUGGGGAAUUUUGGACAAUGGGCGCAAGCCUGAUCCAGCCAUGCCGCGUGAGUGAAGAAGGCCUUCGGGUUGUAAAGCUCUUUCGGCAGGAACGAAAUGGUUCGUGUUAAUACCACGGACUGAUGACGGUACCUGAAGAAGAAGCACCGGCUAACUACGUGCCAGCAGCCGCGGUAAUACGUAGGGUGCAGGCGUUAAUCGGAAUUACUGGGCGUAAAGCGUGCGCAGGCGGUUUCUUAAGUCAGAUGUGAAAGCCCCGGGCUUAACCUGGGAACUGCGUUUGAAACUGGGAGACUUGAGUGUGGCAGAGGGGGGUGGAAUUCCACGUGUAGCAGUGAAAUGCGUAGAUAUGUGGAGGAACACCGAUGGCGAAGGCAGCCCCCUGGGUUAACACUGACGCUCAUGCACGAAAGCGUGGGGAGCAAACAGGAUUAGAUACCCCAGUAGUCC